GACGAACGCUGGCGGCGUGCUUAACACAUGCAAGUCGAGCGGAAAGGCUCCUUCGGGGGUACUCGAGCGGCGAACGGGUGAGUAACACGUGAGUAAUCUGCCCUGUGCUCUGGGAUAGCCACCGGAAACGGUGAUUAAUACCGGAUAUGACCAGCUACUGCAUGGUGGUUGGUGGAAAGUUUUUCGGCACAGGGUGUGCUCGCGGCCUAUCAGCUUGGUGGUGAGGUAAUGGCUCGCCAAGGCUUUGACGGGUAGCCGGCCUGAGAGGGUGACCGGUCACACUGGGACUGAGACACGGCCCAAACUCCUACGGGAGGCAGCAGUGGGGAAUAUUGGACAAUGGGCGGAAGCCUGAUCCAGCAACGCCGCGUGAGGGAUGACGGCCUUCGGGUUGUAAACCUCUUUCAGUACCGACGAAGCGAAAGUGACGGUAGGUACAGAAGAAGGACCGGCCAACUACGUGCCAGCAGCCGCAGUAAAAC
rnacentral:rRNA from 1 species